rnacentral:lncRNA from 1 species
GUGAAAGGUAGUAAGUGAGUAGUGAUUCCCACUCUAUAAGGAUGAGCAACUGCACUAAUUAAAGCACAAGAUGACCAUCUCUCCCUCACACCACCUCCUGCAUCAGUUAGAAUAAGGGCCAGGGCUUGGAAUAUGAUAUGCUGGAAGAUAAGAGACCUGGGUCUACAAGCAAGAAUCACCUAUCUUUCCAAACUCACUAUAUACUUUCAAGAGAAUGUAUGGCAUUUAAUACAAUAGAAGAUUUCCAAGUAUUCUUAAAGAAAAGACCAGAACUAAAUAGAAAAUUUGAUGUUCAAAAACAAGAUUCAAGAAAACCAUAAAAAGGAGAUACCAAGGAAUAGAAGGAGGUGGGCCACUCUUUGCCUUAAUUUGAACAGGAACAACUGAAUUAAGCAGACCUACAUCAGAAGAAGAUAUCGUUUGGUAUUUCAAAGGUGAGCGUGCACAAAGACACUUGUGCAUGAAGAUUUAAGUGGAAGAGUCGAUGCACAGAGACAGUCCUACUCUCUCGGCGUUGGAAGCCUGGGUCCAGUGGCACCAAAAGUCAUUAUACCUGGAGACUUUCUCAGCUGCAUUGGAUGGCCGUGUUGUCCUUUGUGCUCCAACACUCCCUGAGCACUCCACAGUGCUUUGCUGCGUCGCCCUCUCAGCCGUUGAACCUUCUUGUUGGUUUCAUCCAUCUGUUCCGCCAAAGCAGUCUUCACAUGCUGGGGAACCUUGGAGCUUCUAUGUUCAACCUUGGCUCUUGAACUACUUCUUGGAGGAUUGCUCUGAAUCUUCUCAUUUGGACUUUGGUGUUGGAGGACUUUGCUUUGGGUCUUGUCCUUCAGUCUUCUUCUUUGGAGUUCAUCUUGGAUAG